ACGCUCGACACCUACGGGAGGCAGCAGUGGGGAAUAUUGCACAAUGGGGGAAACCCUGAUGCAGCGACGCCGCGUGGAGGAAGAAGGUCUUCGGAUUGUAAACUCCUGUUGUUGGGGAAAAAGAGGAUGGUACCCAACAAGGAAGUGACGGCUAAUACGNGCCAGCAGCCGCGGUAAUCUGAGCGGGCUGGCAAGGC
rnacentral:rRNA from 1 species